rnacentral:rRNA from 1 species
CUAUUUUUUGUAACAUUAUUAAGUCACCACGUCCAGAAGCUGAACCUUUAUUUUCUUUUUUAUAGCUACUUUGCCUGUCAUUAGAUUAGGUAUAGGUUCACUUACCUUCACCGGCGGGGUGUUUGUAGCACAGUCGGCAUGUUCACGUGGAUAGAACCGGCUAGGCCCGACGGUAUUGGGUUUUGGGGCUUGGCUCGCGCGCGAGUAGAUAUUUAACGCGAGCCUGUAGUGUCGCUCCGUAGUAUGCGGGUGUGAGUGAUGAACGGAGCAUGACAGCAUAUGUGAUGUCGCGGCUUUUUCGACGGUUCGCCGAGGCAGCAGGUACCUGCACGGCUGGCGGCCUGUUCGGCGGCGACGUGGCGUCGCGUUCCGGACCCUCACCCUCCCGGCCCACCACAGGGGCCACGGCCGCCGCUGCCGCCUGCUCCGCACCCGCGACGACAGCCUGAAGGACCGCAAGGUGUUCACCGUGGGCGCGCACCGCCACACGGCGGACCGCAGCAGGAGGCCGCGCCGCCGCGGGCCCACGCAGGCGAUGACGCUCCCGUGGGGCGGGCGGCUGCCCUGCGGGCGGCUGACCCGCGUGCUCUGCGAGGAGCUCGUGCUGGUCCGGGCGGCGAAGAAGGCGAUGCUCUACUUGCUGUUGUUGUACCCGAAGCCGCGGAAGAAGCGGCGCAAGGCGCAGCAGGGGCGGCGCCGGCCGCCGACGCACGACGCCACCCUCAAGCUCACGCUCGGGCACGCCCCGUGCGGGUUCCUCCGCGAGCUCCGUGCCGACGUCCGGCCCGAGCUGCCGUACCGGCGUGCGCACGUGCUCGUGGAGUACAGGCGCGCGCGCCGGCAGCGGCAGCGGCGUCGGUGGCGCGGCUGCUGGUGGCACUGACGUCCCGACCUCCGGCGGCUACUCGAGUUCGACCUGUCGAGGUAGCGCCGGACUCGAGACUCGGAGAGACUCGUGAGCUGCCUGCUGCAUGCAAACCAACACUAGAGCAGAGCAAGAAAAGAGUGCCAUGAUGCAACAGACUACUAUAAAAGAGAAACAAAACAAGACCCGGAAACAGACGAACGGCAAUACAUACACGCGCAUGCACGGCAAAUGAUGUCAUGCCAACCCGGGGAUAUGUCGACAUGGCCCUUAUUUACAUACUAUAAUGAGCAUCAUUAUAUACGUUUUCACUAGUCACGUACACGUCGGAAAAAGGUAGAAUUAUGAUCAUGAGCGAAUACUUUUUAUAUUAAACACCGUACCUAAAUAACCAGAAACUAAACUAGUGGCGUUUUUAUAAAACAAACAGUAUUUUUUAUUCCAAAUAGUGAGAUACAUCUCUGAUCCCCAAUAGGAGGAAAAACCUUUUUUUUUAGUAAGCAGCAGUUUACCUCAUAAUUAGUAUAAAAACCGUAUAAUAUAUACAAAGUGUUCAAUUUAACUGCUUGAUUUAAGGGUGAAGACCGAAUUGAAGGGUAGGCUUCCUUCAUGAACAAAAGAAACAAUACAGAACUUGUUACG